UCGAUUUUGAUUUGUUACCUUCUGUGCUGGCUGGCUCCCAGCAUGUGCACGUUGGUGACUUUCAUACAAUACCCUUUUGUGAACCUUUGGCCCCAUGCUGGCUUUGGCCAGCAGAGGAUUUACACAAACUUGAAUGUAAUAGAAAGACCUUGUUGUGCGCAAGCACUAAUGUA
rnacentral:misc_RNA from 1 species